rnacentral:tRNA from 2 species
GAGCCGGUAGCUCAGGGGUAGAGCAACGGCCUUUUAAGCCGUGGGUCGUGGGUUCGAUCCCCACCCGGCUCACCA